UAUUUAUUUGUUUUUAUUUUAUUUAUUUAUUAAUGAAUUUAUUUAUUUAUUUAAUUAUUUAUUUGCUAAAAUGAGCAUCAUUCAGCUAAAUUCAUGUUUUGGUGGAUUUUCAGCCUUUUUUCUGCUUAAUCCAGCAAAUGCGCUCUGUUAGUUUCUUUCUGCUAAUUUCAGCAUUUUUGUUACCUUUCAGCUGUAUUUUAACAUAUUUUUAAAUCUAAAUUCACAUUUUUCUGAUCAUUUCAGCUUCUCACUGCUUAAUUCAGCAAACUUCAGUGACGACCCCUGAAGGUCACAGGGACAUCAGAGGCAGGAAGUCAGAGUGAGGGAGAGACAGGAGCAGACCAACAGGUAAGAGAGAAACACAGAACAGAUAUUUUAUUUUAGAAAAUCUUCUGAUGACAGUAAUAUUUGUAAAAAGUACAAUGAUGAUAUCAGAUGUGAUCGAUGUCUUUUCUUUCCUCUCUUUCUAAUCUGUACUUCCUGUUUUAUGUGACUUUUAGUAUUUUUGGUCAGGUGUGAGCUUUUGCUGCCAUGAGACUCUGUCCUACUGGUUAAAUAUUGCAUUAGCAUGAAAAAUACAACUUCAAACCUCUUCAAGUA